ACCAGAUGUGGUGCCACAUGCCUAUAGUCCCAGCUACUCUGGAGGCUGAGACAGGAGGAUUGCUUGAGCCCAGGAGUUCAAGGCCAGCCUGGGCAACACAGCAAGAAUCUGUUUAUU
rnacentral:sRNA from 1 species